GCCUCAUGGUGUAGUGGUUUGAGUGUUGGACUAGGACUCUGGAGCCAGGGUUCGAAUCCCUGCUCAGCCA
rnacentral:tRNA from 1 species